rnacentral:rRNA from 1 species
GACGAACGCUGGCGGCGUGCUUAACACAUGCAAGUCGAACGGUGAAGCGCCUUCCUUUUUGGUGGGUGUGGAUGAGUGGCGAACGGGUGAGUAACACGUGAGUAACCUGCCCCCUUCUUCUGGAUAACCGCAUGAAAGUGUGGCUAAUACGGGAUAUUCUGGGUCUGUCGCAUGAUGGGUCUGGGAAAGAUAUUGUUUCGGUGGGGGAUGGGCUCGCGGCCUAUCAGCUUGUUGGUGGGGUGAUGGCCUACCAAGGCGGUGACGGGUAGCCGGCCUGAGAGGGUGGGCGGCCACACUGGGGCUGAGACACCGACCAGCCUCCUGCGGGAGGCAGCAGUGAAGAAUAUUGCACAGUGGGCGCAAGCCUGAUGCAGCGACGCCGCGUGGAGGAUGGAGGCCUUCGGGUUGUGAACCUCUUUCGCCAGUGAAGCAGGCCUGCCUCGUUUGUGGGUGGGUUGACGGUAGCUGGAUAAGAAGCGCCGGCUAACUACGUG